GGAAUAUACACGACUGCAAGAAUACACCGUAAAUCUAUACGGAUGUCCUUCGACUGCUUGUCGAAGUCUUUUUUUGCCCCAGCCGGUAGGUCUCUAGACGUUACAGAGAACCCCGAAUAACCCAAACUAUUAAUCUUCAAUACCGCUUUGUACUUACGAUCUUGUAUCCAUUGACUGUCUUAUUAGAUUAACCCAAUAAAUUUCAUUCACUCCGCAUACUCAAUUCUAUAGACACCUUUUUAACUCUUCAUCACAGAUGUAACUCGAUUUCAUAAAACAGUCAAGAGUAAUCAAACCCACUUCAUUAAAAAUCCCAAUUCACCAUUACAACAUUGACUUCAACAACGAUUGC
rnacentral:lncRNA from 1 species